UUAUCAAACAAUGGAGAAUCUUUCUACGGUGGUUCUCUUGGCGUGUUUGUACUUUCCCUUUUCUGAAGCGUCAUGUGUCCAUGGGUGGGUGACUUUUCGAGACAAAUGCUACUUUUUUGGGAAAACCAAAGAAACCUGGUAUGCUGCAUCGGCGCUGUGCCAAUCGUUCGGAAGUAAACUUGCUGAACCGGUCACACAGGAAGAGGUGGUGUUUCUGGGACGUGAAACGAUGCAGAUAGGAAACAACGGGGAUUACUUUAUUGGGAUACACGACAUAUUCCUGGAGGGGGAGUGGAUGUACGCCUACUCCAGGAAACCCGUGACCCUGACCAUGCCCUGGGCGAGCGGUAACCCUGACAACUACCACGAAGAAGACUGCGUGGAGAUAGACUCCUCCCCCCAGUUCCAUGGAAUGUGGGGGGACGCUCUAUGUUCGUACCCCCUGUACUACAUCUGUGAAUACGACUCCAGGUCUACCAAAUACAUAGUCUACCCGUCAUGUUACGUACCUGUGAAUCAGACUUGCGCCUAUGGUAAAAUAUAGCACAAAAACGAGUAUAUACAGGCACCUGCGGUAAUUGGUUGAGUAGGCCUAUACAUACUUGUGGAGUACUUCUAACAAAUAAAUAAAAAAUAAACAAAAAAUAAAU
rnacentral:misc_RNA from 1 species